rnacentral:rRNA from 1 species
AUACGUAGGGCGCGAGCGUUGUCCGGAUUUAUUGGGCGUAAAGGGCUUGUAGGCGGUUUGUUGCGUCUGCCGUGAAAUUCCCUGGCUUAACUGGGGGCGUGCGGUGGGUACGGGCAGGCUUGAGUGUGGUAGGGGAGACUGGAAUUCCUGGUGUAGCGGUGGAAUGCGCAGAUAUCAGGAGGAACACCGGUGGCGAAGGCGGGUCUCUGGGCCAUUACUGACGCUGAGGAGCGAAAGCGUGGGGAGCGAACAGGAUUAGAUACCCUGGUAGUCCACGCUGUAAACGUUGGGCACUAGGUGUGGGGGCCGUCCUUGGUUUCUGCGCCGUAGCUAACGCUUUAAGUGCCCCGCCUGGGGAGUACGGCCGCAAGGCUAAA